CCUACGGGAGGCAGCAGUGAGGAAUAUUGGUCAAUGGGCGCGAGCCUGAACCAGCCAAGUCGCGUGAGGGAUGAAGGUUCUAUGGAUCGUAAACCUCUUUUAUAGGGGAAUAAAGUGUGGGACGUGUCCUAUUUUGUAUGUACCUUAUGAAUAAGGAUCGGCUAACUCCGUGCCAGCAGCCGCGGUAAGACGGAGGGUCCGGGCGUUAUCCGGAUUUAGUGGGUUUAAAGGGUGCGUAGGCGGCCUUUUAAGUCAGCGGUGAAAGUCUAUGGCUCAACCAUAGAAUUGCCGUUGAAACUGGGGGGCUUGAGUAUGUUUGAGGCAGGUGGAAUUCGUGGUGUAGCGGUGAAAUGCUUAGAGAUCACGCAGAACCCCGAUUGCGAAGGCAGCCUGCCAAGCCAUGACUGACGCUGAUGCACGAAAGCGUGGGGAUCAAACAGGAUUAGAUACCCGGGUAGUC
rnacentral:rRNA from 1 species